ACGAACCUCUGGUGUGCCAGUUGUCCUGCCAAGGGCAUGGCUGGUUGGCUACGUUCGGAAAGGAUAACCGCUGAAAGCAUCUAAGCGGGAAGCCUGCUUCGAGAUGAGUAUUCCCACCCUCUUGAGGGGUUAAGGCUCCCAGUAGACGACUGGGUUGAUAGGCCAGAUGUGGAAGCCCGGUAACGGGUGGAGCUGACUGGUACUAAUAGGCCGAGGGCUUGUCCUCAGUUG
rnacentral:rRNA from 1 species